CGGAGGGUGCGAGCGUUGUCCGGAAUCACUGGGCGUAAAGGGCGCGUAGGCGGCGCGGGCAGUCAACGGUGAAAGCUUGGGGCUCAACCCCGAGUCGGCCGUCGAUACUCCCGUGCUUGAGCACUGUAGAGGCAGGUGGAAUUCCGGGUGUAGCGGUGGAAUGCGUAGAGAUCCGGAAGAACACCGGUGGCGAAGGCGGCCUGCUGGGCAGUAGCUGACGCUGAGGCGCGACAGCGUGGGGAGCAAACAGGAUUAGAUACCCUGGUAGUCCACGCCGUAAACGAUGGGCACUAGGUGCUUGGGGGAGCGACCCCCUGAGUGCCGGCGCUAACGCAUUAAGUGCCCCGCCUGGGGAGUACGGCCGCAAGGCUG
rnacentral:rRNA from 1 species